GAGCUGUCCCUUACAUAUGCUGCUGACAGUACUGUGUCAGGUGACUCAGGACCAGCUAGUCACAUUGGAUUGGAUUAUGUAGUUGAUUUACCUCUUUACAAGGAGAGUACAAGGUACAAACCCCAUGCUGACCCAGAGCCCACUCCUGGUUCCUGCACUUGUUAUUCCCUUGAUUCCAUUCAAAUGACUAACCUGACUCUUUUGAUAUCCUUUAGUGAAGAAGAAAUAUUUUAUACUGCUUCUUCAGAUGAGGAAUCUUCUUUUAUUCCUGACAUAGAAGAAGGUCUGCCUGCUACUCAGGCACCUGUUGAUAAUUUUGAUGCUUCUGCGUCAGCUGAACCAAUAAACCACAGCAUGAACCCUCUCAGGGUGGGUGGAUAUCUUCGGGCACCAGCGAUAGCACACAUCCCCUUUUUGCCUUUUAUAUGGCUUGUAUCCUCACUUUUCUCUGUCAUAACAUGGAUGAAAAUCCAAAUUCAACAUGCAUGGCAUGAAGAAAAUGGCCAAGGAGCUCCCACUAACAAAAAAGUUGGAUCAGG
rnacentral:lncRNA from 1 species